CCUUGCUUUUGUUUUGUUGAACGCUGACUAGUAAUGUGGUUGAGGUGAGAAGACAUGCAUUGAAACGAAGUUACAAAAACUGUUUGUUGGGAGAUCAUUCGUGCUGUUUUUUAGCAGGCACUAUUCAGUGAUUUGGGUGGACACUCUUAUAGCUUCCUGUCAACCAGACUUAUUGCAGGUUAACUUUGUUCUCCAGCUUUGGUCAUCAUUGCUUGCUUUGCAAGGUGUGGCAUGACUGCCUUUCUUCUGAAAAAAGAAGUUUCAGCAGAAACUUGUGUAACAUAUUCUCUUUGCUACAUUGUAAACAUUUCUUUUGAAUUUUUUUGAAUAUUAUAAAAGUAUGGAAUUUCCCAGCUAUCAGUUCUAUCUUUUUUUUUUCUUUUAAUUAUCACAUUGUGUUUGCAAGAGACGGUUUGAUUGGUGUGAAGUGGAGGGGAUGCUCUUUGCUUUCCAUUGACGAAGUAACUGUCAGUAAUCAUAAUGCUUCAAGCAUCAAAGCAAGCAGGUUGAGGAGGUUUCCUGUGUACACUGGAAUUUAUAGAUCUUCAAUUAGGUGUUCCUUCUGGCUCGUUUAAGCUUUGGGCCCCCCCCUCCGCAGUGGGGUUUAUGGCUACGUAGCUGCAUCCGGCUUGGCUUACAUGCUUGAUGCUCGCACGUCUUUAUGAAGAAUGGCGUAAAAAUUGCCUGUAAAUUGUUAAUAAACUAAUUUUUUAAGUUUCUUUCUGAAUAUUGUUAUUCAACCGACCCUCGAUAGUCUCUCCUGUUUCUUUAUGAAUGCUGUCGUUGUUCCUAAGGAAAUAAAGCAGGCUGGCAGAACCCCCACACGUUUGCUGUCGUGUGCACAUGAUCAAUUUCUUUUUCUUGUAGCAUGUUCAGUGCAAUGAGGGCUUUAAAAUGAAGUUAGUGAUGUUGGUUACGAGCUGGAUGAUGAUGAUGCAUUAUCUGACCUUAAAUUAAUGUUCUUGUAAA